UACAGAGGGUGCGUGCGUUAAUCGGAAUUACUGGGCGUAAAGCGCGCGUAGACGGUUUUGUAAGUCAGAUGUGAAAUCCCCGGGCUCAACCUGGGAACUGCAUUUGAGACUGCAUGGCUAGAGUAUGGAAGAGGGAAGCGGAAUUUCAGGUGUAGCGGUGAAAUGCGUAGAUAUCUGAAGGAACACCAGUGGCGAAAGCGGCUUCCUGGUCCAGUACCGACGUUCAGGCACGAAAGCGUGGGGAGCAAACAGG
rnacentral:rRNA from 1 species